CCUACGGGUGGCAGCAGUGGGGAAUAUUGGGCAAUGGGCGCAAGCCUGACCCAGCAACGCCGCGUGAAGGAAGAAGGCUUUCGGGUUGUAAACUUCUUUUCUCAGGGACGAAGAAAGUGACGGUACCUGAGGUAUAAGCCACGGCUAACUACGUGCCAGCAGCCGCGCGAAUACGUAGGUGGCAAGCGUUAUCCGGAUUGAUUGGGUGUAAAGGGCGUGUAGGCGGGAGCGCAAGUCAGAUGGGAAAACUCAGGGCUCAACCCUGAGCCUGUAUUUGAAACUGUGUUUCUUGAGUGCUGGAGAGGUAAUCGGAAUGCGGGGUGUAGCGGUGAAAUGCGUAGAGAUACGGAAGAACACCGGUGGCGAAGGCGGAUUGCUGGACAGUAACUGACGCUGAGGCGCGAAAGCGUGGGGAGCGAACAGGAUUAGAUACCCCAGUAGUC
rnacentral:rRNA from 1 species